CCUACGGGGGGUAGCAGUGGGGAAUAUUGGACAAUGGGGGCAACCCUGAUCCAGCCAUGCCGCGUGUGUGAAGAAGGCCCUCGGGUUGUAAAGCACUUUCAGUGAGGAAGAACGCCUGGUGGUUAAUACCCAUCAGGAAAGACAUCACUCACAGAAGAAGCACCGGCUAACUCCGUGCCAGCAGCCGCGGUAAUACGGAGGGUGCGAGCGUUAAUCGGAAUUACCGGGCGUAAAGCGCGCGUAGGUGGCUUGAUAAGCCGGUUGUGAAAGCCCCGGGCUCAACCUGGGAACGGCAUCCGGAACUGUCAAGCUAGAGUGCAGGAGAGGAAGGUAGAAUUCCCGGUGUAGCGGUGAAAUGCGUAGAGAUCGGGAGGAAUACCAGUGGCGAAGGCGGCCUUCUGGACUGACACUGACACUGAGGUGCGAAAGCGUGGGUAGCAAACAGGAUUAGAUACCCUAGUAGUC
rnacentral:rRNA from 1 species